UACGAAGGGGGCUAGCGUUGCCCGGAAUCACUGGGCGUAAAGCGCACGUAGGCGGACUCUUAAGUCGGUGGUGAAAUCCUGGAGCUCAACUCCAGAACUGCCUUCGAUACUGAGAGUCUCGAGUCCGGGAGAGGUGAGUGGAACUGCGAGUGUAGGGGUGAAAUUCGUAGAUAUUCGCAAGAACACCAGUGGCGAAGGCGGCUCACUGGCCCGGUACUGACGCUGAGGCGCGACAGCGUGGGGAGCAAACAGG
rnacentral:rRNA from 1 species